UACGUAGGGGGCAAGCGUUGUCCGGAUUUACUGGGCGUAAAGAGCGCGUAGGCGGCCAAACAGGUCCGUUGUGAAAACUGGAGGCUUAACCUCCAGACGUCGACGGAAACCGUAUGGCUAGAGUCCGGAAGAGGAGAGUGGAAUUCCUGGUGUAGCGGUGAAAUGCGCAGAUAUCAGGAAGAACACCAAUGGCGAAGGCAGCUCUCUGGGACGGUACUGACGCUGAGACGCGAAAGCGUGGGGAGCAAACAGG
rnacentral:rRNA from 1 species